AGUUAAGGCAGGGUAGUGGUUGACAGCUGGGAGAGCUAAGGGGCAGAAAUUCCAUUGAUAGGGUCUGGGAGGCUUUUCAGCCUCUUCAGCUGCAGCUUGUGGUUGCAUCAGGAUCUCACCCCUUUGUAGCAGGAGCAAGGCACCCUACAGCUGCCUGCCCACCUCCAGCCAGAGCCUUGCCAGAGCUCUGGCUCCUCAGGAAGCCCACGUCUAGCAAUUCAUCUCCCAGACAUCUCCCAUGUCUCUGCAGCUUCCUUCUCAGCUGACCCCUAGCUUCAGCUCAGGCUUUUUCUCCUCCUGAAUUAUAUUUCACCUGUCAAAUCCACAGAGAUGAAGUGUGUGGAAACUCUUUGCAGAUCCACCUGAUUGCUGCUUGCUGUAUCCAAGCUUCAGCUGCUUCAAAGGGCGCAAAUGGGAGUAUUGACAAGUUCAACGGGGAGACUCAUCAGCAGCACAAACGCCGAGCAGGCUGUACAGAAAAGAAGAAAGCUCUACCAGAACAAGCUUGGCUUGGUUCCCACUGUCAGUUUGGCUCCCUCCAACAACAAUCAACCAGGACAGGAGCAUCUGCUUCACUCAGAAGGGCUACAAGCAUCAUCUGUGCACCCCAACACAGCAGCCGUGAGCCUUUCCCUCUCAAACUGCUGUCAGUGCAGAACUCUUCAGCCAGAGAGUCUUUGCAGAGCACCUUCUAACCUCAACUUCUACAACCCCAACCCCUCACUGCAUCCUUGGCAUGAUCAGGGGUCACUGAAGUGGGGGAUGUGCCUGAUGCCCAGGGAGGUCUCUGAGGAAGAAUUGGAGCAGGCUCCUCCUCUCAAUUGAUGGUGACUCCCUCUGCAUGCUGGGCCCUGCAGUUCCCCCCGUGGCUGGGGGCAGGAGAAGCCUGGUACCAGAUAAUCUCUGUGCAGGACAUGAGUCCUAAGCCCAGCCUUUGAUGUGAUGUGGCCUUGAUCCCUCUGCUGUGUGCACAGAAGACUCUGUUGGUGAGAAAUGCUCCAACUUGCUGCAUGGACCUUGCAAGAAGAUCACCCAAAGGCUUUUGGGCAUCUGUGACUAUCCAAACCCUGACCCCUCCACCCUGCUCCAUUUGAAUUCAUCCUGGCACCUCGUGGGAAGCUGUAAGAGGCACAAGAAAGCAUAAGAAGGGCAGGGCAAAGGAGCCACUGGAUGGAGGCAAGCUGAGGAAGGAGUGAAGCAGGCUGCUGGUUCUCCUGAACCCUCCCUCCCCUCCCCACCAGGCAAGUACAGGAAAUUUGUUCAUUUAUUGCUGCUUAAUAAUAUAUAGUUAUGCA